ACGGGCGGGGCGAGCGUUGUUCGGAUUCAUUGGGUGUAAAGGGUGCGAAGGCGGUCGUCUAAGUCGAAGGUGAAAUGUCUACGGCUCAACCGAGGCAUUGCCUCCGAUACUGGACGACUUGAGUGCGGAAGGGGAGCGUGGAAUUCCUGGUGUAGCGGUGAAAUGCGUAGAUAUCAGGAGGAACACCGGUGGCGAAGGCGGCCUCUUGGGCCGUUCCUGACGCUGAGGCGCGAAAGCCAGGGGAGCGAACGG
rnacentral:rRNA from 1 species